GUUGGUUAUGGCGACGAGUAUCCCAAGACGUUGCUUGGGAGGAUCGUCGGUACGGUGUGCGCCCUGUCGGGUGUUUUGAUCAUUGCUAUGCCUAUUGCAAUCAUAGCCUCCAC
rfam:Crassostrea gigas strain 05x7-T-G4-1.051#20 contig21839, whole genome shotgun sequence.